rnacentral:ncRNA from 1 species
AAGAGGGAACCCGGUGCGAAUCCGGGACUGUCCCGCAGCGGUGAGUGGGAACGAAAGCCGUCACCAGCACUGGGCCCCGGACGGGCCUGGGAAGCGACGGCCGGUAGGUGCCCGCCGGUGAUCCGGUGGGCGAGCCCGCGAGUCCGAAGACCU